rnacentral:rRNA from 1 species
UGGGGAAUAUUGGACAAUGGGGGCAACCCUGAUCCAGCCAUGCCGCGUGAGUGAUGAAGGCCUUAGGGUUGUAAAGCUCUUUCACCCGGGACGAUAAUGACGGUACCGGGAGAAGAAGCCCCGGCUAACUUCGUGCCAGCAGCCGCGGUAAUACGAAGGGGGCUAGCGUUGUUCGGAAUCACUGGGCGUAAAGCGCACGUAGGCGGACCGUUAAGUCGGAGGUGAAAUCCUGGGGCUCAGCCCCAGAACUGCCUUCGAUACUGGCGGUCUCGAGUCCGGAAGAGGUGAGUGGAACUGCCAGUGUAGAGGUGAAAUUCGUAGAUAUUGGCAAGAACACCAGUGGCGAAGGCGGCUCACUGGUCCGGUACUGACGCUGAGGUGCGAAAAGCGUGGGGAGCAAAACAGGAUUAGAUACCCUGGUAGUCCACGCCGUAAACGAUGAAUGCCAGCCGUCGGGCAGCAUGCUGUUCGGUGGCGCAGCUAACGCUUUAAGCAUUCCGCCUGGGGGAGUACGGUCGCAAGAUUAAAAACUCAAAUGAAUUGACGGGGUCAUAGCUGUUUCCU